UACAGGGGGGGCAAGCGUUGUCCGGAAUUAUUGGGCGUAAAGAGCGUGUAGGCGGCCAGAUAAGUCCGCUGUGAAAUCUCGAGGCUCAACUUCGAGCUGUCGGUGGAAACUGUCUGGCUAGAGUCCGGAAGAGGAGAAUGGAAUUCCUGGUGUAGCGGUGAAAUGCGCAGAUAUCAGGAAGAACACCCGUGGCGAAGGCGGUUCUCUGGGACGGUACUGACGCUGAGACGCGAAAGCGUGGGGAGCGAACAGG
rnacentral:rRNA from 1 species